rnacentral:rRNA from 1 species
AGAAUCAACGCUGGCGGCGUGCCUAACACAUGCAAGUCGAACGAGAAAGUGGAGCAAUCCAUGAGUAAAGUGGCGCACGGGUGAGUAACACGUGACUAACCUACCCUUGAGUGGGGGAUAACCUAGGGAAACCUGGGCUAAUACCGCAUAAUAUCUUCGGGUCAAAGGAGCAAUUCGCUUAAGGAGGGGGUCGCGGCCGAUUAGUUAGUUGGCGGGGUAAUGGCCCACCAAGACUGUGAUCGGUA